rnacentral:rRNA from 1 species
UACGAAGGGGGCUAGCGUUGUUCGGAAUUACUGGGCGUAAAGCGAACGUAGGCGGUGUUCCAUGUCAGAGGUGAAAGCCUGGGGCUCAACUCCAGAAUUGCCUUUGAAACGGGGACGCUUGAGUCCGAGAGAGGAUGGCGGAAUUCCUAGUGUAGAGGUGAAAUUCGUAGAUAUUAGGAAGAACACCAGUGGCGAAGGCGGCCACCUGGCUCGGUACUGACGCUCAGGUUCGAAAGCGUGGGGAGCAAACAGG